rnacentral:rRNA from 1 species
GGGUGGUGGAAGUGGCGCACGGGUGAGUAACACGUGGGAACCUACCCUUUGGUUGGGAAUAACCGCGGGAAACUGCGGCUAAUACCGAAUAAGCCCUACGGGGGAAAGAUUUAUCGCCGAAGGAUGGGCCCGCGCCGGAUUAGCCUGUUGGUAGGGUAACGGCCUACCAAGGCUACGAUCUGUAGCUGGUCUGAGAGGAUGGUCAGCCACACUGGGACUGAAACACGGCCCAGACUCCUACGGGAGGCAGCAGUGGGGAAUAUUGGACAAUGGGCGCAAGCCUGAUCCAGCCAUGCCGCGUGAGUGAAGAAGGCCCUAGGGUUGUAAAGCUCUUUCACCGGGGGAGAUAAUGACGGUACCCGGAAAAGAAGCCCCGGCUAACUCCGUGCCAGCAGCCGCGGUAAUACGGAGGGGGCUAGCGUUGUUCGGAAUUACUGGGCGUAAAGCGCACGUAGGCGGCGUGUAUAGUUAGGGGUGAAAGGCGUGGGCUCAACCUGGGAACUGCCUCUAAUACUGACACGCUAGAAUUCGGGAGAGGGUAGCGGAAUUCCAAGUGUAGAGGUGAAAUUCGUAGAUAUUUGGAAGAACACCGGUGGCGAAGGCGGCUACCUGGACCGAUAUUGACGCUGAGGUGCGAAAGCGUGGGGAGCGAACAGGAUUAGAUACCCUGGUAGUCCACGCCGUAAACGAUGAGUGCUAGUUGUCGGGGG